GACCAAGCUAAAGCAAGAAAAAUUAUUCUCCCACCCUUCACCAGCAAGAUUCUCUGCCUUCUCAGCCUUUCACACAGCCAGGGCUGGGGACCUCCUGAAAAGUGGUGUUGGCCCUUCCAUCAGGCAGACCUCAGACCAGAAUCCCUGCCUCCUCUUCAUCUUUCUACCCGUCCUGCCCCCACCCAAGUGACACACGCCACAGAAGGCAACCUGGAAAUUGCCUUGUGCACUGUGGGGCGAUGGGAAGUGGGGGCAGGCUUGGGUCAGGUGCUGUCACCUCUGCACCCAUCACACACAUCUUCCUCCCUAAUGCCGGGGUCUCAGCAUGGGUGGGAGAUGUCAGCAUCUCGGGGAGGAGGACUGCUGUGACCCACAGGGAGACACAUGCACCUGCCCCCACCGUGGCUUCUGCCCUCCUCCCCAGCAGGGAUGGUGAUGGCCGGUUGAAGUGUUGACUGAGCUUGGAGCCAGGUGCACGGUGGCUGCUAGGCGCCUUCACUCCAUCCUGGAACAGCAGGAGAAAGUGCCUCAUGAAGUUCGGAAGAAAUAAAGGGAACCUAAGCAUGUUGCAGGGCUGCUUUAUCUCACAAAAAGCACAUCAACAGCAUCUGCUCUUCAACAGGACAACAGAACCAGGCCUCCUGACUGCCCCUCCCUGCGCUCCGGGCCUGCAGAAGGCGCCUGAUGUGACUUCGCAUUAUUUUGAAGCUGGAAAGGCAGACAUUUUAAGCCCUAAAGAGGUUUUGCCUUCUGAGGAGCUCAGGAGCUGAGGAGACCCGCAGGGACAUCUGGCUGGUGUCCUCCCCACGACUCUGGAGGAAAGAAUAGAAUACCAAAAGGCGCUGAACAUCACCACACCCCCUGGGGCCAUGACAUCCUCGGUGAACCGUAGGACUGGGGGACUGAGGACGGGUGAUUCCAGAGCGUCUUGCAUCGUCGCGUUUGGAGGACGGUGAUCCUCAGUGACCACCAAUCACGCACGCCGGGUGGGCGUGGGAGGGAUGUUCCCAGCCUUAGCCAUUGAGGAAAAGCUCAGCCCCGGGGCAGGGCAGGGAGGUCAGGAAGGGAAGACCUGAGCGGGAGGGGAAGGGGCAGGGAGAGCGGCUGGACUGUGAGCAGCUCCACGAGGGUGUGGGCUAGGAUGCAGGUAGGAGCUCCUGGGAGAGCAACCCUGGGGCCAGGCUGGGGCUGCGUGUGGACCCCAGGAGAAGGCCCUUCGGGAGCAGCCGCAGCUAUGCUGCGAGGUGUGCUUUCCUAAACUCAGAGGCUCUUGGUGAAGUGUGUUUCGGGCAGAGCCCAAUCUGUCACGGGCUCUGGGAGCUCCAGGCACAAGUGUGGGGACGUCCCUAGGGUCACUGCAGCCAAGGUGGCAUCAAGGCAGCAAUGAGGGUAAGGCAGGGAAGCAGGAGAUGUAGGGGUUUAUCCUGGCAGCCCAGCACAGUAGGCAGCUUGUGAAAUGGCUUGGAUGAACCCACCUUGGCAUUCACGGCUGUGCUAUGCCCUCCCCUUGAGUGUGAACCUGUGACUUGCUCCUAACCAACAGGAUGUGGCAAAGGUGGUGGCAUGUCACUUCCAUGAUGAGGAUAUACAAGACUGUGACUGCUGUCUUGCCAGCAAUCUCUCCUGCCUUCUCCACUUGGUCUCAAGAAGCCAUGGUGGAGAGUCCCAUGUGGCAAGGACCUGAAUCCUGCCCACAGCCACUUGAGCUGUGUGGACCCUCACUCAGUCGAGCCUUUCCCAGACACCUUGGCCCUGGCUGAUAACCAGAUUGCAGCCUGUGACAGACCCUGAAGACAAGGCUCCCAAGUAAGGUGUGCGUGGAUUCCUGACUCACAGCAACUAUGAAAUAGUAAAUGUGUGUUUUAAAUCACUAUCUUGUGAUUACAGAAGCAGAUAACUAAUACAAGUAUAAUAGUAUCUUGUAGCAUGUUUUAAGACAUGUUAAAAAAAUUGUCUAGGGAGAUGUAAUCAGAGGGUGCUAUAUGCUAUUACUGGCCAUUGUAACGCUAGGGGACUUCAUUGUAUAACCAUGACAUUAAAAGGAAGUGCAGUUUAUUCUGUA
rnacentral:lncRNA from 1 species